rfam:Schistosoma curassoni strain Dakar, Senegal genome assembly, scaffold: SCTD_scaffold0009411
AUCCAGCUGGCGAGUCCCAAACAGGACGAAGCGCGCGUCCUGGAU